UCCUACCGGGAAGAGGUAGGCGAAGCGGUGGCGGGCGCGAAGGGCAAGCCCCGGGGCGACGCGGCGACGCGUCCCUUCCCCGACUUGGAUUCGCAAGCGCUUCCCAGCUGUCGGGACCCAGAACUGCCCGGGCAACACCGUGGGGCCGAGCCCCCCAGCCUCCCGCGGGGCAGCCCCACGUCCCCGGCGGGCAGGGGACACAGCCCCAGAUCCAGGCCGGACGACAAAGACUCUUUACCCGAGAGCUUCCCAGGAGCAAUGUGCGGUUUCAGGGCUUUACGUGUCCGGUAAUCCUCACAAGGGCCUUACAGAAGGAGGAAACUGAGGCACCGGGAGGCUGGCCGACUUGUUCAGGUCACAUGCAUAGUCUGGCCUCACCGCCCAGCUGGUGACUACUGAAGGGGAGUGCGGGGUCUGCCCCAGAGAAGAGAUAGUAAGUAAUCCAUUGCCUACAUUCCCCGCAUAAAUAUCAUCCCCAAUUAUUUAAAUGUCCCGGAAAUCCAGAGGAAUGAAAUUAAGGAAGACGUUUUGUAUCGGCUCCUCGCCUUAGGACUGGCCAGCUUCCAGUUGGUGGCGCCAUCGCCUGUGAGUUGCCUGUGUACUUUUAUCCAUUUCACAUCUUCAUGCCUCUGAGCCUGAUAGGCGUUCCUUCCUCCCCACCUUGCAAACUCAAUUAACCAUCGCUUAAAACCCACCUAAAUGCCAUCUCCUGCAUGAAGCCCUCAGCAGCCCCAGCCAGGAGAACCGCUGUUGGGAUACUUGUCACGAUGCGUGGAAAUUAUUGUUUCCCUGUUUGUCCCCUUCUCAAUCCAGGUGUGUUUUCCAGAGUGGGACACUUCCCAGAAUCCCCUGGAGAGCCUCAAAGGCUUAUCAGGAUGGGACAAGGUGCAUCUGAAAAAGCUGUCUAGGUGAUUCCAAUAUGCCCCCUCCCAUACACACCCCAGGUGAGACCCACUGCUCAGAUGUGGGGUUGCUAGGUCAGCACCGUGGCUCAUCUAUCGCCACAUCUCAGCACCCAGCUGAGGCCAAGGGUGUGGAAUGCGACUGGAUUCACAAGACUCACCUGCUCAUUACAUUAGGAGUGUUUCAGAACAGUGUGUCAGUGGGGGCAGAGAGCAUGCCCCGGCCUCAGGUUAGAGACCUACCAGACCACCAUGAGACAGCACGUGACCCUGCGGAUGGCUGGGGUGCGGAAGAGGUCCAGGAUCGAGUUGGAGGUGCGGACACUUGCAAACUCGCUCUGGAUGUAGGAGCUCACCACCUGGGUGAGGAAAGUCUGUUCAGGGGAAGUGAGGGAUCUGAGACCGUAUGUCCCUGCAGGAGGAGGCGAGCUGGGGUUGAGGUCUCUGGCAAGAUGGCCUACUGUCCUUUCUGUCCUGGGACUGACAGCCCUCGCCCAGCUGUCCCCAGGGCUUUGUUUGAGAUGAAGGAGAGGCUCCAGCACGAGUCCCAGCACUCCUGGGGUUCUGUGGCUCUGGAGCGCUACCCCCCGCCCGGUAUAGACUUGGAGACGGAUAAGAGCUGUGGUUGCAAGUGACUCUCCCACUGCCCACUGUGUGUUCUCAGGCAAGUUACCUGGCCCGCCCACACUUCAGUUUCCCCACUGACAAAACAAGGCAUUAAAUGAGAUUAGAUGGAGAGACUGAUGAACAAAGCAGUUCAAUUUAUUCAUCCCAGAUCACACAGCCAUUCAAUGUUCAAACAAUGUCCUUCUCACACCGGAACUCUGCCUGUCCUGCUUAUUCCCAAGCUCUACGCCUGGCAGGCAGGUUCCGCAUAGCUAACUGGGACUUGCCGUGAAGGAGGAGCCAGCGGGAUGACUCUGGCAGCCACCUGGGACCAAGAGAAAGAAGAAGGAUCCAGGAUGGGGUGGAGUUCAUUCUGUUCCCCAAACUCAAGUACAGCUUCAUCCACCUUCUUCUAUCCCCUAAAAAAGGUGAAUUGUCCUCCUGUCUGCAGAAUCAGGAAGACUGGGGGACAGGCCAGCUUCCCUUUUUUUACAGCACAUCAUUCAGAGACUCACUGAAGUCUACUUAGAGACUACAGAUGACAGGGGACUUCAACAAACCCAGUUCUGAAUCUGUUUCUGACCCCAGCUGUGUGGCCUUGAAUAAACUACGGACCCUC